AAAUUGAAGAGUUUGAUCAUGGCUCAGAUUGAACGCUGGCGGCAGGCCUAACACAUGCAAGUCGAGCGGUAGCACAGAAGAGCUUGCUCUUUGGGUGACGAGCGGCGGACGGGUGAGUAAUGUCUGGGAAACUGCCUGAUGGAGGGGGAUAACUACUGGAAACGGUAGCUAAUACCGCAUAACCUCGCAAGAGCAAAGAGGGGGACCUUCGGGCCUCUCGCCAUCAGAUGUGCCCAGAUGGGAUUAGCUAGUAGGUGAGGUAAUGGCUCACCUAGGCGACGAUCCCUAGCUGGUCUGAGAGGAUGACCAGCCACACUGGAACUGAGACACGGUCCAGACUCCUACGGGAGGCAGCAGUGGGGAAUAUUGCACAAUGGGCGCAAGCCUGAUGCAGCCAUGCCGCGUGUGUGAAGAAGGCCUUCGGGUUGUAAAGCACUUUCAGCGAGGAGGAAGGCGGUAAGGUUAAUAACCUUAUCGAUUGACGUUACUCGCAGAAGAAGCACCGGCUAACUCCGUGCCAGCAGCCGCGGUAAUACGGAGGGUGCAAGCGUUAAUCGGAAUGACUGGGCGUAAAGCGCACGCAGGCGGUCUGUUAAGUUGGAUGUGAAAUCCCCGGGCUUAACCUGGGAACUGCAUUCAAAACUGACAGGCUAGAGUCUUGUAGAGGGGGGUAGAAUUCCAGGUGUAGCGGUGAAAUGCGUAGAGAUCUGGAGGAAUACCGGUGGCGAAGGCGGCCCCCUGGACAAAGACUGACGCUCAGGUGCGAAAGCGUGGGGAGCAAACAGGAUUAGAUACCCUGGUAGUCCACGCUGUAAACGAUGUCGAUUUGGAGGUUGUGCCCUUGAGGCGUGGCUUCCGGAGCUAACGCGUUAAAUCGACCGCCUGGGGAGUACGGCCGCAAGGUUAAAACUCAAAUGAAUUGACGGGGGCCCGCACAAGCGGUGGAGCAUGUGGUUUAAUUCGAUGCAACGCGAAGAACCUUACCUACUCUUGACAUCCAGAGAAUUAGCUAGAGAUAGCUGAGUGCCUUCGGGAACUCUGAGACAGGUGCUGCAUGGCUGUCGUCAGCUCGUGUUGUGAAAUGUUGGGUUAAGUCCCGCAACGAGCGCAACCCUUAUCCUUUGUUGCCAGCGAUUCGGUCGGGAACUCAAAGGAGACUGCCGGUGAUAAACCGGAGGAAGGUGGGGAUGACGUCAAGUCAUCAUGGCCCUUACGAGUAGGGCUACACACGUGCUACAAUGGCGUAUACAAAGAGAAGCGACCUCGCGAGAGCAAGCGGACCUCAUAAAGUACGUCGUAGUCCGGAUUGGAGUCUGCAACUCGACUCCAUGAAGUCGGAAUCGCUAGUAAUCGUAGAUCAGAAUGCUACGGUGAAUACGUUCCCGGGCCUUGUACACACCGCCCGUCACACCAUGGGAGUGGGUUGCAAAAGAAGUAGGUAGCUUAACCUUCGGGAGGGCGCUUACCACUUUGUGAUUCAUGACUGGGGUGAAGUCGUAACAAGGUAACCGUAGGGGAACCUGCGGUUGGAUCACCUCCUUACC
rnacentral:rRNA from 1 species